rnacentral:rRNA from 1 species
UACGUAGGGUCCGAGCGUUGUCCGGAUUUAUUGGGCGUAAAGAGCUCGUAGGCGGUGUGUUACGUCGGCCGUGAAAACCUGCAGCUUAACUGUGGGCGUGCGGUCGAUACGGGCAUCACUGGAGUUCGGCAGGGGAGACUGGAAUUCCUGGUGUAGCGGUGAAAUGCGCAGAUAUCAGGAGGAACACCGGUGGCGAAGGCGGGUCUCUGGGCCGAUACUGACGCUGAGGAGCGAAAGCGUGGGGAGCGAACAGG